rnacentral:lncRNA from 1 species
CGGGGCAAGGCUUUUUGAGUGCUUGCUCGGGGCAAGGCUUUUUUGUGCUUGUGCAGGGCAAGGCUUUUUGAGUGCUUGCUCGGGGCAAGGCUUUUUUGUGCUUGUGCGGGGCAAGGCUCUUUGUGUGCUUGCUCGGGGCAAGGCUCUUUGUGUGCUUGCUCGGACUAAGGCUUUUUGAGUGCUUGCUCGGGGUAAGGCUUUUUUGUGCUUGCGCGGGGCAAGGCUUUUUGUGUGCUUGCUCGGGGCAAGGCUUUUUGAGUGCUUGCUCGGGGCAAGGCUUUUUUGUGCUUACACGGGGCAAGGCUUUUUGAGUGCUUGCUCGGGGCAAGGCUUUUUGAGUGCUUGCCUGGGGCAAGGCUUUUUGCUAAAGGGCUGUCAUACCUGAAACUUGAAUUUACUAAUUUUUCGGACUGGACUUGGAUUUAUAUUGUACCCAAGCUGCCUACGUACCCAAACGGGAUCAAGCCGAACGUAGUUCAUUACAAAAGAGAACAGAAAACAUGCAUGGGAACGCAGGCCCGCUAAACUAGAAAUAAAAUGCAGAAAAAGAAAAUUUUCUCAAAGGCGUCGAGAAUUUUACUUGUAAUAUAUUUUCAGAUUGUCGGCAUUCCAGGGCCUCGGAAGAGGUCUACCCGAAGUGUCUCUUAGGCUGUAUGCUCCUUUGCGAACCUGCCGUAUGACCUCAAAGGGCCCUUCCCAGACGGGCCCGAGCUUCCCUGGGGGGUGGCCUACUGCAUCGGCCCUCCUCAAGACCAAAUCGCCAGCUCUGAACCUCCGAGUCUUGACUAUGCUAUUAAAAUGUUUUGCUGUCUUUGCUUGGUAAGAGGCCACUUUUAUAGCGGCUUGCUCCCGUACUUCUUCCAAGAGAUCAAGAUGUUCAGUUGUAUGCUCCGAGGUUUCUGGCACGAGCCUUCUAUGGCUUGGCAGUCUAAUUUCCAC